rnacentral:rRNA from 1 species
GACAGAGGAUGCAAGCGUUAUCCGGAAUGAUUGGGCGUAAAGCGUCUGUAGGUGGCUUUUUAAGUCCGCCGUCAAAUCCCAGGGCUCAACCCUGGACAGGCGGUGGAAACUACCAAGCUGGAGUACGGUAGGGGCAGAGGGAAUUUCCGGUGGAGCGGUGAAAUGCGUAGAGAUCGGAAAGAACACCAACGGCGAAAGCACUCUGUGCGAGGCCACACUGACUGAAGAGGGAGAAGAGCUAGGGAACGGAAUCG